rnacentral:rRNA from 1 species
AUUGAACGCUGGCGGCAGGCCUAACACAUGCAAGUCGAACGAGUGGCGGACGGGUGAGUAAUGUCUGGGAAACUGCCCGAUGGAGGGGGAUAACUCCUGGAAACGGUAGCUAAUACCGCCUACCAUCGGAUGUGCCCAGAUGGGAUUAGCUAGUAGGUUGGGUAACGGCUCACCUAGGCGACGAUCCAUAGCUGGUCUGAGAGGAUGACCAGCCAAACUGGAACUGAGACACGGGCAAGACUCCUACGGGAGGCAGAAGUGGGGAAUAUGGCACAAGGGGCGCAAGCCGGAUGCAGCUAUGCCGCGUGUAUGAAGAAGGCCUUCGGGUUGUAAAGUACUUUCAGCGAGGAGGCGUUACUCGCAGAAGAAGCACCGGCUAACUCCGUGCCAGCCGCCGCGGUAAUUC